GCCCGGCUAGCUCAGUCGGUAGAGCAUGAAACUCUUAAUCUCAGGGUCGUGGGUUCGAGCCCCACUUUGGGUG
rnacentral:tRNA from 1 species